rnacentral:rRNA from 1 species
UCGCCUGUUUAUCAAAAACAUAACUACAAGGAGGUAGUUGUAGCUUUUUCUGCUCAAUGACUUUUAAAUAGCCGCAGUACUUUGACUGUGCAAAGGUAGCAUAAUCAAUUGUCUUAUAAUUGAAGACUGGAAUGAAGGAACGUCUGGAUAGUAACUGUUUUAUAGUAAUAUUAUGAAUUUAAUUAAAAAGUGCAAAUGCUUUUAUAUAAAUUUUAGACGAGAAGACCCUGGAAAUUUGUAAAAAAGUUUUGUUGGGGCGACAGGGUAACAGGAAACUUACCUAAAGUUCUUUUUGAAAUUUCUUUAGACUAAAUAAAUUACUCCAGGGAUAACAGCUAUAAUUU